rnacentral:rRNA from 1 species
CCUACGGGUGGCAGCAGUGGGGGAUAUUGCACAAUGGGGGAAACCCUGAUGCAGCGACGCCGCGUGUGGGAAGACGGUCCUCUGGAUUGUAAACCACUGUCCCCAGGGACGAAAAUGACGGUACCUGGGGAGGAAGCUCCUGCAAACUACGUGCCAGCAGCCGCGGUAAUACGUAGGGAGCGGGCGUUUUCCGGAAUUACGGGGUGUAAGGGGAGUGUUGGCGGGGAUGCAAGUUGGGGGUAAAAACUACGGGCUAAACUGGUAGUCGCACUUGAAACUGCAACUCUUGAGUGAAGUAGAGGCAGGCGGAAUUCCUAGUGUAGCGGUGAAAUGCGUAGAUAUUAGGAGGAACACCAGUGGCGAAGGCGGCCUGCUGGGCUUUUACUGACGCUGAGGCUCGAAAGUGUGGGGAGCAAACAGGAUUAGAUACCCCUGUAGUC